GGCCUAAUGGUCUAGUGGUAGUGAGUACAACCUUCCUCGGUUGCCCAGUUUCAAAUUCUAACAAUUUCUCAGUGAUUCCUGCUUUGGGUAUUUCUCAAUCUUGCAGGAGGCCCCGCGUUCGAAUCGCGGUUGGGCCC